UCAUCACAGUAGGAGGUGUUUAAACAAACUGGACAUGCACAAGUCCAUGGAACCUGACAGGACAUGUCCGUGAGUGCUGAAGAAGCUGGCUGGUGUCAUUGAGGAAGCACUCUAGAUUACUUUUGAAAGGUCACAAUGAUCAGGGGAGGUUCCACAUGCCACUCCUGUCUUCAGGAAGAGCAAGAAGGAGGAACUACAGGCCUGCCAGAUCCAGCUUGACCCCUGGGAAUAUCCUGGAGCAACUAAUCCUGGAAAUCACACAUAAGCAUCCAGGGCAAGACAGUGAUUGGGAGCAGUCAGCACGAAUUUGUGAAGGGGAAAUCAUACCUGGCCAACCUGCUAUGAUGAGAUGACUGGCUCAGUGGAUGAAGGAAGAGCAAUGGAUGUUGUUUAUCUCACCUCUGUGUGCUGAAAGAUGGUUCCUCCCAAGUUUCACCUUCAUAUGGAGACACAGACAAGAUAAGAAACAGCAGAGGACAAAGUCAAGAUGUUAACAUUUGGAAGUAGAUGAAAGAAGCACGGGAUGAUGUGGGUAUGAAGAGUAAGACAGGAGAAAGGAAAGUUACCAUCAAAGACAAAAGAGAAACAUUAACAUUCUGUUGAAAAACUUCCAAGUAGAUUUCUCUUCAAAAUUAUAAGAAAAUAAUAAAAUCAGACUGUUGUAUACUCUAUUUUAAUAAGCAGUUUAGACAGUCCACUAUUACUGGUGGGACAAAUCAGGUUGUUAAAUUGCUAAUGUUUAGGAACAGGUGAAAUUUAUUUACAUUGUGAGACCAUCUUUAUGUUAGCUCCUGUUCGUACUCUUGAGAGUACCAAAUGAUGUCUUUCAGAGUAAUUUUCAGAAUUACUGAAAACGGUGUACCUAUGUGUGUAGGUACAAGGAGAAACAAUGGAGUUCAAUAUUAAAUAGAAAUUCUGAUUGUUUUUUGCACCUGCUGAUCUGGAUGCAAUACAAGUACCAUGUGUUUAGUGAUAACCCAACAUUUACCUUCUGAAGAGGAUGCAGAAAUAAAUAUCAUGACCCUAUUUGUCAUCCAAGGAAGAAUGAUUACCUACUUCAGGUUUUUUAGUGGCAGCAAAACUUCUAAACACAGAGUUUUCCCUUUCCAAAUGUUAGGAUGAAACUGCCAGCCAGUUCGUCUGCAAUUCCACUCUAUGAAAACACCUAUAGUAUCUCCUAGGUCAGGAAAAACACUCUUAACACUCUAAAUUUAAUACAUUACUAUGCUACAGACUUUCUCCUGGGAGAAGAAACAUGUAUAUCUAUUUCUACCAAU